GGGGAUGUAUUUGGUUUCGACAGUAUUCCAGAAGUAUGAAUGGCAAGUAGUGGAGUUGCCUGGCCACUUAAAAAGGCAAAACUUAAAUAUAAACGCUGAUAAUAGAGAAUUAGCAUACGCUGCUUAGUUUUAGUAGCGACGUCUUACUUUAAAUGCCCACGUUUUUAGAUAAGGCGACGAUUAGUGGGAAACGAAGCUAUUUUUUGCCACAAAAAUAGUAGGUAACCUAGUGGCUACUUUAAUAUAACAUUUGUUUGUUAAUUUUAUAUUAAAGGAAUUUUAAUAACAAACUAAACUUGUAGAAAUUUAUAUGGAAAGAAUAUUGGACAGGAGUUCGACUCUCCUCAUCUCCACCA
rnacentral:tmRNA from 1 species